CGUUGAAACAGCAGUUCCCUUACGAUCACUGAAGUUAAGCAACGUCAAGCCAGAUCAAUACCUAGAUGGGUGAUCCCUUGAGAAUACCAAAUGCUGUAA